CCCCUAGUAACUGCGAGUGAAGCGGGAAAAGCUCAAAUUUAAAAUCUGGCGGUCUUUGGCCGUCCGAGUUGUAGUCUGGAGAAGUGCUUUCCGCGCUGGACCGUGUAUAAGUCUCUUGGAACAGAGCGUCAUAGAGGGUGAGAAUCCCGUCUUUGACACGGACUACCAGUGCUUUGUGAUGCGCUCUCAAAGAGUCGAGUUGUUUGGGAAUGCAGCUCAAAAUGGGUGGUGAAUUCCAUCUAAAGCUAAAUAUUGGCGAGAGACCGAUAGCGAACAAGUACCGUGAGGGAAAGAUGAAAAGCACUUUGGAAAGAGAGUUAAACAGUACGUGAAAUUGCUGAAAGGGAAACGCUUGAAGUCAGUCGCGUUGUCUGGAACUCAGCCUUGCUUUUGCUUGGUGCAUUUUCCGGAUGACGGGCCAGCAUCGAUUUUGACCGUCGGAAAAGGGCUAGGGUAAUGUGGCACCUCCGGGUGUGUUAUAGACUCUAGUCGCAUACGGCGGUCGGGAUCGAGGAACGCAGCGCGCCGUAAGGCAGGGGUUCGCCCACUUUCGCGCUUAGGAUGCUGGCGUAAUGGCUUUAAACGACCCGUCUUGAAACACGGACCAAGGAGUCUAACAUACCUGCGAGUGUUUGGGUGGAAAACCCGAGCGCGUAAUGAAAGUGAAAGUUGAGACCUCUGUCGUGGAGGGCAUCGACGCCCGGACCUGACGUUCUCUGACGGAUCCGCGGUAGAGCAUGUAUGUUGGGACCCGAAAGAUGGUGAACUAUGCCUGAAUAGGGUGAAGCCAGAGGAAACUCUGGUGGAGGCUCGUAGCGAUUCUGACGUGCAAAUCGAUCGUCAAAUUUGGGUAUAGGGGCGAAAGACUAAUCGA
rnacentral:rRNA from 1 species